rnacentral:rRNA from 1 species
AUGUAUAGCAAUAGCUACUUGUAUCGUUGUAAAUAUGAUGCAAGAUCGACUAUGUCGAAUAAAAUUCUAGGUAGAAUUAUGAUAAUGACAUUGUCUACCUAUGUGUCUUGACCAAAUUACGUGCCAGCAGUCGCGGUAAUACGUAGAAGACUAGUGUUAUUCAUGUUUAAUCGGUUUAAAGGGUACCUAGACGGUAAAUCAAGCCUAAAAGGAAAUAAAUGAAGGGACUAAUUUACUAGAGUUACUUACGAGGGGGUAUUAAAGUACUGCUGGUGUAGAGAUGAAAUUCUGUCAUACCUCUUUUCAAUAGAAAAAUAAUGGCACAGGUAUAGGCGAAAGCAUCCCCUUAUGUGAUAACUGACGUUGAGGGACGAAGGCUUUGUGUAGCGAACAGGAUUAGAUACCCCAGUAGUCAAAGCAGAAAAUGAUGAAUGUCAUAGAUUAGAUAUAUAAGUUUACUCUAUAAAUGAAAGUGUAAGCAUUCCACCUCAAGAGUAAUUUGGCAACAUUGGAACUGAAAUCAUUAGACCGUUUCUGAAACCAGUAGUGAAGUAUGUUGUUUAAUUUGAUGAUCCGCAAAAAACCUUACCACAAUUUGAAUAUUUAUAUCUUUUAUUGUUUUUCUUUUUAACUUUCUUCUGAUUUUCUACUUAAAAGAAAACAAUAACAAGAAAAAAGAGGCAAUGAGAUAUAUAUACAAGCGUUGCACGGCUGUCUUCAGUUAAUGUCGCGAGACUCUGGUUAGUUCCAUAAAAUUAACGUAAACCCUUACUUUAUUUUUAUAUAGAGUAGUUCCCCGCUAUAUUGGAUAUGAUAACA